rnacentral:rRNA from 1 species
AACGAACGCUGGCGGCAGGCUUAACACAUGCAAGUCGAGCGCCCCGCAAGGGGAGCGGCAGACGGGUGAGUAACGCGUGGGAAUCUACCCAUCUCUACGGAAUAACGCGUGGAAACGUGUGCUAAUACCGUAUACGUCCUUCGGGAGAAAGAUUUAUCGGAGAUGGAUGAGCCCGCGUUGGAUUAGCUAGUUGGUGGGGUAAAGGCCUACCAAGGCGACGAUCGAUAGCUGGUCUGAGAGGAUGAUCAGCCACACUGGGACUGAGACACGGCCCAGACUCCUACGGGAGGCAGCAGUGGGGAAUAUUGGACAAUGGGCGCAAGCCUGAUCCAGCCAUGCCGCGUGAGUGAUGAAGGCCCUAGGGUUGUAAGCUCUUUCACCGGUGAAGAUAAUGACGGUAACCGGAGAAGAAGCCCCGGCUAACUUCGUGCCAGCCGCCGCGGUAAAAC